CUAAGAAUAUUCCGCAAUGGGCGAGGAGCUGACGGAGCGACGCCGCGUGGAUGACGAAGGCCGAAAGGUUGUAAAGUUCUUUUGCUGGGGAAGAAUAACCGCAGGAGGGAAUGCCUGUGGGAUGACAAGAACCGGCGAAUAAGCCCCGGCCAACUACGUGCCAGCAGCCGCGGUAACACGUAGGGGGCGAGCGUUGUUCGGAAUUACUGGCGUAAAGGGCAUGUAGGCGGCUUGGAAAGCCUGGCGUGAAAGUCUGCAGCUUAACUGCAGGGGUGCGCUGGGAACUGCUGAGCUUGAGUGACGGAGAGGGAGCUGGAAUUCCUGGUGUAGGGGUGAAAUCUGUAGAUAUCAGGAAGAACACCGAUGGCGAAGGCAAGCUCCUGGCCGAUGACUGACGCUGAGGUGCGAAAGUGUGGGGAUCAAACAGGAUUAGAUACCCUGGUAGUCCACACAGUCAACGAUGUGCACUAGGUGCUGGGGCGGUAGCUUCGGUGCCGGAGCGAACGUGGUAAGUGCACCGCCUGGGGAGUAUGCUCGCAAGGGUGAAACUC
rnacentral:rRNA from 1 species